CCGCCGCCUCCCCUUUCACCGAGUCAUAAGUCCCAAACGUGCUCGUCCUCCAUCCCAGCCACAAUUGAUCGCCCUCGCUGAAAAACACAUGCAGCGUCCCGGCGAUUUGGCCCAGCGCCGGGGCAAUCUGAUAGUCCGCCGACACCGAUGGCGCUAGCAAGACCACAUUCUCCACUUCCACCCGCUUCUCCAGUCGGCUCAAACUCCCGAGAAGCACCCCGCAUCCCGCGCUGUGCCCCAGCAGCGUUAACCUGCCCG
rnacentral:misc_RNA from 1 species